rnacentral:rRNA from 1 species
CUACGGGCCGCUCCAGUGGGGAAUAUUGGGCAAUGGGCGCAAGCCUGACCCAGCGACGCCGCGUGAGGGAUGAAGGCCUUCGGGUUGUAAACCUCUUUCAGUAGGGAAGAAGCGAAAGUGACGGUACCUAAAGAAGAAGCACCGGCUAACUAUGUGCCAGCAGCCGCGGUAAUACAUAGGGUGCAAGCGUUGUCCGGAAUUAUUGGGCGUAAAGAGCUCGUAGGUCGUUUGCCGCGUCGAUUGUGAAAAUCUGAGGCUCAACCUCAGACCUGCAGUCGAUACGGGCAAACUAGAGUGUGGUAGGGGAGACUGGAAUUCCUGGUGUAGCGGUGGAAUGCGCAGAUAUCAGGAGGAACACCAAUGGCGAAGGCAGGUCUCUGGGCCAUAACUGACACUGAGGAGCGAAAGCGCGGGGAGCGAACAGGAUUAGAUACCCUAGUAGUC